CAUGUCAGGGAAGUUAUAUAAUUGAUAUCCUAUUUAUUCAGAAUCAUUAUCCUAUUUAGUGAAUUCUGAAAUAUUUAUCUAUAUAUGUAUCUUCUCUUCCAAGGCGAAAACUAGUUAUCUAAACAAAAAGAAUUAACUAGAUCAGUAGUCCAUACCUAUUCUGGCAUUCGGAGCUCAUAUUUUCUAUGGUCAUAAGAUGGCGAUUUUUUAUUAUUUUCGCUUCCUGUAGCUCAUCAUAUUCUGGUAAUUGACUCCCCAACUGAACGUGAAAUCAAUUGUACGUCUCAGUUGUUAUUCCUUUCCUCUGAAAUGAAUGACGAAAGUUAUUUUUCUUAAAAUUGUUUUCAUUAAAAAAUCUGUUUUUUAGUGUGUAGCUACCGUAAAAUGUUUAUCAAUAGGAAGAAAAAGACUUUCCUCAUUUUCGGGUAGAAAUCAUUUUCCUUAUAACUUUUUAGUUGUUUAUUCCAUCUACACACCUAGAAAUUAUUAUUAUUAUUAAUAAUCUUUAGUACACAAAUAAUUUUUCAAAACACGCACCGAUUUGUUAAUAUUAUUAUUAAAUUUUAAUAUAUUUUUUCGAAAAUAUUUUCUACUCAUCGGGCAAAUAUUUUCUGGCGUUCUCUUGUAUAAUGACUUUUGUCAUACCAACCCACUGGACAUGAUUCCAUUUUAAUGAAUUCGCAUGUUUUAAAACUCCAUGUACUAUAAAACAGAAAUUUCGUUAUAAUUUUAAAAAUUUGAAAAAGAAAUUUUUUUUGGAAUAAGUGAUAAAUAUAUAUACUCCAUAUUUUUAGCAUUGUUUUGAUUGUGUUUUAUAUGCACUGCUUGUUUUAUCUGCUUAUAUUAUUGUAUGAAUUUCUCUGAUCUGAUCGUCUUGUUUAUUUGUUUUCCACUUUCUUUCGAUGAUUGCGUAUCACAAAGAAAUAUGCAAUAAUGAUCUGUUAAUCUGGAUAGCAUCAUAUGAUAUUUUAGCCAAAAGAGUUGAAUUAAUGAUCGAGUUGGGUCAUAAUUUAUCCAAAAUUUUUAGGUCAAGAUGAGCAGGUCAAUUUGGAUUAUAACUCAAUCCACUCAACUCAAAAUUAUUUUUUAUUUAUUUAUUUAUUUAUUUCCAAUUUGUUCGUCACCAAAUCAAACUAACAAAAGCUUUUCGUUAAUUUACUAUGAAUAUAUCUACCGACAAAAUGAAAGUCUUUUUAUGAGUCAAUUUGAGCUAAAUGGAUUGUCCAAGUUGACCCAAACUCUUAGAUGAGUUAAUUGAUAGCCAAACUGAUCCAUCACUAAAUUUAUAGUAAAUUUGUCCUUUUUAAUUUCCUUUUUAGCUACAUUUUACAUAUGAGAAUUCUUGCCCUUGCUUCCCAUGAAAUUGAUAAUUAGAAUUGAUAAUGGUGCAUGUAUUAUAAUCCUCUAUAAAUGAAUAAAAUUGCAGUGCAACAAGAUCUGAUGAGUCAAAUUCUAUGAGAGCAAAUCAAAGGCCUUGUAAUUAUCAACUAAUUCAGCUCAGUAUUUUCUCAUCAUCAAUCUUGUUGUGCCAAUUAGCAAAGGAAAAUGGAUGAUCGUAGGGGCGGAACUAAAGUGACAGGAAUUAGACAAAUUGUGAGACUCAAACAGUUGUUACAUAAAUGGCAAAAUGUCACACUUAGCCCUAAGGGGAAAAACCACCAAAAACUCGGCUGUGUAAAAUCCUCGAAUCGGAAAAACGAUUCCUAUGGAGGCAUAUCUCCAUCUAUAAGCAAGAGAUUACGGAGCUCCAGUGUAUACUGGGGAGACUCAGACGAGGAUAAUUGCCAGAGUCCCGAACCGCCUCAUGGUAUACCAAGAGGAUAUUUAGCAGUUUAUGUUGGACCAGAACUUAGGAGAUUUAUAAUUCCCACAAGUUAUCUUAGUGACCCUUUAUUUAAAGUGUUGUUGGAAAAAGUUGAGGAAGAAUUUGGCUUUGAUCAUAGUGGUGGACUUACUAUCCCUUGUGAAAUUGAGACUUUCAAGUUUCUCUUGCAAUGUAUGGAGAAACAUCAGAGAUUUCACCCUACUGAUCAUCACAAUGAUUCUGGUAAUGUUCUUUCCUUUUCCAUUCUUUAUUUUCCUUGGUGUUUAACUUCUAUGUAUUAAUUAGAUUAAAGUAUUUAUAAUCAGAUCAC
rnacentral:lncRNA from 1 species